AGCGAACGCUGGCGGCGUGCUUAACACAUGCAAGUCGAACGCGCAGCAUUCUGUAGCAAUACAGGAUGUGGGCGCGUGGCGGACGGGUGCGUAACACGUGGAUAACCUUCCUUCAAGUGGGGAAUAACCCAGUGAAAAUUGGGCUAAUACCGCAUAACAAAACGAGGGCACAUGCUCUUGUUUUCAAAGCCGCAAGGCGCUAGAAGAGGGAUCCGCGGCCGAUUAGCUUGUUGGCGGGGUAACGGCCCACCAAGGCAUUGAUCGGUAGCC
rnacentral:rRNA from 1 species